CGGACCGGGGCCUGGGCAGGGGAUGGCAGAUGCUGGGCCGCGCCCGCGAAGGAAACAGAAAUAUGGGCGCAAGGACGGGCCGUCCCUACGGGGCACGGGGCCCUUGUCUGUCCUGGGCUCUCCCUGCGAAAGGGCUCACAUCCGGGAGGAGAGCGGAAGCGGGGGGCGGCCCUACCCCCGCCGUGUGACGGCCCCGGGGACAGCCUUCCCCGCCCAUUGUGACGACCGGUGUGAAGGCCCCGGGACAGCCUCAGACAGUUCCCUGAAGUGAAAUCACAGUAUGAUUUUUAAGGCCUUUGUAAAUCAUCGAAUUACCCGCCGUCCAGUGCACUUUUUCUUCUUCCAGCGGUGUAUGAAGGUGCCAGUUUCCCCUAAUCGUCUAUAUGCUCAUAAGACAUCCGAGGACUGACUAAAGGUGCUGGUUGGUUCCUGGUGGAGCUGAGACCACAGCGGGCAGGCAGGUGUCCCACUACUGGUG